rnacentral:misc_RNA from 1 species
GUACAGUAGGUUCUUUGUCUACAAAAAGGCACUUAGUCUAGCAUCAGCAGGAAAAGUAACAGAGAGUAUCAUACCUUCUUUCAAAAAGUUGGACAACUUUUUACAGGAGUGGAAUAUCUCAGAAAUGGACCAGAGAGAACUUUACCUGACCAUCACUAACAUUUUGAAGGAUAACAAAAGCAUGGCGAAAGACUCGUUUACUUUCCUGACUAAGUACUUGGCUACUUUUUCGGGUGUGGAUGAGGAGGCAUCUAUGAUGAGUGAGGCAAAAGAAGAAGCAGUUCGGGCUGUCAUAGAAUUUGUGAAGUCUCCAGAUAUGUUUCAGUGUGAUUUGCUGGAUAUGCCUGCCAUUAAACAACUAGAAAAUGAUGAGAAAUAUUCAACAGUUUAUGAGCUCCUGAGGAUUUUCAUCACGCGGAGACUUGAUUCCUACUUAGAGUUCCAUUCUGAAAAUUCUACUUCACUGAA